GUUCUAUAUGGAAGAAGAGAAGGUUAGCAUUCCCCUAGAUGAAGAUGGAAGAGGUCCUAGUGGCCUUCACAACAUACACACAGUUACGUAUUGCCACUGUGGGUAGAGAGCUCAAGUAACUCCAUUUUGU
ensembl:snRNA